rnacentral:lncRNA from 1 species
CCUCCCUCAAGCCCUGCAUUCCCACCUACCCCAUCUCUCAAGGGCUCUGCAUCUUCCUCCUUUCUGCUUGCCUUUGUCUCCUCCUCUUCUCUGGUUUCCCCAGAAAUCUCCUUCCCUUCCGGUGACUCCUGUCCCCCAUCCUCUUUUGACAACAAAGCUGCUUUUAAAUCUGCCAUGCACCUGUGGGGUUCAGGCAAACCCUCCUAUCCCUUGGAAUUUUUCUGCUGCUUGACACCAUCACACAAAAAUCUUCCUCCUUUGGGUUCCAGGUCUCUUUUAUAACAACUUCAGCUCCUCUGACAGAAUUCUUUAACAAGUAACCAACUGGUAACAACAAGUCUUCCAUGACAGGAGUUAUAACGACUUCCCCUCAAACAAAAGGGUUUACUUGUGAAAAAUCCAUCCCACAUUUGGCUCCUAGACCCUCUUGCCCAGGUCUCUCCUGAUGCAGGGUGGUAGCUGGGUCUUCCCAGGAUUGUUCCUAAGGGAACUUAGGCAUCUUCUGUUCUCGCUAUAAUUGGCCUCUCUCACAAACCUCUUUCUCUCACACACCUUUUCACCUCAUGUACUUCUAUUUCUCCUCAGUAAGGAGGUUUCCCCACUGGUUCCUCCUGCCACACUCUCUGGGCUUCUUCUCUGGGUACUUUGAAGGCAACGCACUUCCCUAACCAUUAGCAAUUUCAACCCAAGUACUGUAUCUGUUUCUUCUGCUGCUGUUCCCAACAACUCUCUCCUGAGGCCGCUCUCCCUUCUCCUCCCCUUUCUUAUCCUUCUCCCUUCCCACCAACAUUGUUUCCCCAUCUGGCUGUUCGUUUCCCAGGCUUUCCAUUUCUUCCAGGUUCAAAUUCCAACUGCCUUCCAUUCUCCUAGCCAGUUCUUUCAUCUCAGCAUCUGUAACAUUCAUCCCUUUCAUAGGAGAAGCUCCUGGGAGGUCCAAGGCAGGAAACGUGUCCCCAAGCUUCCUGAUGUGUCUCAUUCGUCCCCCACUGAGAACUCCCCGUAGGCAUUAAGAGUAGACUUUGGUAAGCACUAUUGCUGUCCAUCACCUUUCCACCUCUGGGAAAAUACAUGUAAGACCCCAUUUUCUUC